CCUCAUUGUAAACAGACUGUAACU
rnacentral:piRNA from 1 species